ensembl:lncRNA
CAGUAAAGAACCAGGGUCCAAGUCGAUAGAGAGCCUAUUAGAUUAACCUGGCCAUUCCUGGUAAUGCAGUCAGUCAAUGGAUUUUCCAUGGUCAACUGCAGUGUGUCUAUGCUUAAGUCCACCCAUCCCUCCUCUUAACGGUGGAAUCAUGUAAGACAAAGACGGAGACUGAUCCCACGUCCAUCGAGAAUCCUCAGGAAACUAACAUCGGGGUGGAAUACUCGAUCGUAAAGGAUUCAAAGGCCAGUCUAAAAGAGCUCUCCCCCUGCUUUCUACGGAAUUGGAACAGGAUUGAAGCGGAUUGAUUGUCUUCGGGGCAAGGCACAAAGUACGGAGCAGUCCAUCUCCUUAGUCAGAAGGUGCUCCGCUCGUCUGUGUUUGGCGUGGCUAAUUAAAGCCCUGUUACCACAAGACCACACUUGAGCUGUAAAGAAGUGCGGCUCCAGGCCCCUUCUGUUCUUUGUCGAAGUUGCGUGAGUGUGUUUAUGUGUGUGUGUCAAAUGUGGACUAUGUAAUUGUCUUGAGUUGAAUAAAUAUAUGCUGCAGAGUCUAUUCCGUCG